UACGUAGGGUGCAAGCGUUGUCCGGAAUUAUUGGGCGUAAAGAGCUCGUAGGCGGUCUGUCGCGUCUGCUGUGAAAUCUCAGGGCUUAACCCUGAGCGUGCAGUGGGUACGGGCAGACUAGAGUGCGGUAGGGGAGACUGGAAUUCCUGGUGUAGCGGUGAAAUGCGCAGAUAUCAGGAGGAACACCCGUGGCGAAGGCGGCUCUCUGGGACGGUACUGACGCUGAGGCGCGAAAGCCAGGGGAGCGAACGGG
rnacentral:rRNA from 1 species